UGGGGAAUUUUGGACAAUGGGCGCAAGCCUGAUCCAGCCAUGCCGCGUGAGUGAAGAAGGCCUUCGGGUUGUAAAGCUCUUUUGGCGGGGACGAUAAUGACGGUACCCGCAGAAUAAGCCCCGGCUAACUUCAUGCCAGCAGCCGCGGUAAUACGUAGGGUGCGAGCGUUAAUCGGAAUUACUGGGCGUAAAGCGUGCGCAGGUGGCGUCGCAAGUCAGGCGUGAAAUCCCCGGGCUUAACCUGGGAAUUGCGCUUGAAACUACGAUGCUAGAGUGCGGCAGAGGGAGGUGGAAUUCCACGUGUAGCGGUGAAAUGCGUAGAGAUGUGGAGGAACACCGAUGGCGAAGGCAGCCCCCUGGGCCAACACUGACGCUCAGGCACGAAAGCGUGGGGAGCAAACAGGAUUAGAUACCCCCGUAGUCCCUGAGCGGGCUGGCAAGGCGCAU
rnacentral:rRNA from 1 species